UUCACUUCUCGUAUCAUCGGAUGAGACCAAUCUUCUGCGACGAAUACAUGCUUUUUCUUCUUCACUUCGAUCCAACUACAUCCCGGUUUCUUCCUUAUCCUUUUCCCCCUCAUUGAUUUCCUCACCGAGGCCAUCUCUUCCCAUUUCCUGGCAUCUGCAUACAUGUUUGCUAGCAUCACAUAUGGCGUGGCAGCUAAUGGUUGCAUCACCAUAAGCUCAUUAGCUGCUCUCUCUGCAAGAGCCAUGUUUUUGUGUUUCCUACAAGCCCCGAGCAAAGCAGCCCAAGCAACAGAGCCUGGCUUAUAAGGCAUUGCAUCUAUGAAUCUCUCUGCCUCUUCUAGCUUCCCUGCUCGGCCUAAAAGAUCAAUCAUACAAGAAUAGUGCUCAGCCUCUGGUUCGAUCUUGAACGUCUCCUUCAUGGUGUUGAAGUACUCCUGACCCUCGUCGACCUUACCACAGUGCGCACAAGCAGAAAGAACGGCUACAAAGGUUAUCUUGUUAGGCGCAAUACCCGAGUCCAGCAUCCGUUGGUAUAAAAGCAAAGCUUCUGUUCCAUGCCCGUGCUGCGCAUAACCUUUGAUCAUACAAUUGAAAGAUACCGCA